GAUGAACGCUGGCGGCGUGCCUAAUACAUGCAAGUCGAGCGAACAGACGAGGAGCUUGCUCCUUCGACGUUAGCGGCGGACGGGUGAGUAACACGUAGGUAACCUACCUAUAAGACUGGGAUAACUUCGGGAAACCGGAGCUAAUACCGGAUAAUAUUUCGAACCGCAUGGUUCAAUAGUGAAAGAUGGCUUAGCUAUCACUUAUAGAUGGACCUGCGCCGUAUUAGCUAGUUGGUAAGGUAACGGCUUACCAAGGCAACGAUACGUAGCCGACCUGAGAGGGUGAUCGGCCACACUGGAACUGAGACACGGUCCAGACUCCUACGGGAGGCAGCAGUAGGGAAUCUUCCGCAAUGGGCGAAAGCCUGACGGAGCAACGCCGCGUGAGUGAUGAAGGUCUUCGGAUCGUAAAACUCUGUUAUUAGGGAAGAACAAACGUGUAAGUAACUGUGCACGUCUUGACGGUACCUAAUCAGAAAGCCACGGCUAACUACGUG
rnacentral:rRNA from 1 species